UUUCUUCCUGACCUUAGACCUUUUUUUUUCAUCCUAAAUUGAUAAAAAGCCUGAUUUUCUUUCCGCUUACUAAAAAACGACACAGUUUCUGCACCUCCAUUUCGAUCCUCCAUCAAACUCACGACACCCCCAAUUUCCCUAAUCUGACAGAAACCAGUUCCUCAUCUGCUCUUCUUCUUCUUCCCAAAAUCGGCCCAUUCCCGGCCCCAUUUUCUUCUCCCAUUCGCGCCACUGAAGCCACCAGUAGGCGGUACCAGCGAACCCCAUACCACCGACACCCGAGCUUCCACCCUCGACCUCUACCCAUCACAACUAGAACCCAGAUUACCAUCUCUAUCUUCCUUUCAGCCCUGAACCCCCACUAUCCCUCUCCAUUGUCCUUCACCUCCAAAAACCAGACCAUCGCCUCACCUGUACCACUUUCCCUCUCCAUCGUCCUUCAUCUCCAUAAACCAGACCUACGACAUCACCUCUACGGCUCUACACCAUCUGACGCAUCUCCUUCAUCAUCGACACCCACCACCAUCCCUUUGGAAUCCAUUCUCAUUUUUCGCAGAUCGAUUCCAAUGAACCCAGCCUUCCACGACCCCAUGAUAAGCAGCAACGACGCACCUAGAACCAUUAAUUGAAGCAGCGUCUACCUCUAUUUUGUCGAGAUAGAGCAUCCAUUUGCUUGUACGACCGGGGCAAAAACUCGUUCUCACCAGCAGCAUCAUCAGUUUUCAGGCUAAAGAUUUAGCGUGAUGGUUGCAAUCUUGUUCUCUUGUUGUUGGGGUCGUGAAUCUCUGAAAGGGAAAUGUUGGAGAGGUCGUUCCAUAAGGAUAGGACUUGGGAGAUUUUAAGGGCUACAAUAAAGUAACCGCUAUAGAGCGAGGCUUGUACCGACAAUAGGUAAGUAAAACUAAACUAAACUCUUAUUUUAAUCAAAUCAAAUGUUUUAAGUAUGCUCAUACAUUAUAAAUACCAUGCAUAUUUGAAUAGGCUGUCAUGCAUUAAAUUCAUGAAUAUGAUGCAAUACAUAUUUAACUGUUAUUGUGAAUGGAUAUUGGAUGAUCCAUUAGCCUUCAUGACAUGAUACAAUAUAUUUAUGCAUGACAAAUAUGGAAGUUUAGGUCGAUACCCAUUUUACGUCCCUGCCAUUAUGUAAGAAAAAGACCAGGUACCCAUUCUAUGCCCCUAACACUAUGGAUAUAUUAUGUUUGAAAAAAAGUCCUGAGCAGCACUUGUUAUGGGUCGGACACUAUUAGAUUUUAUGGAGGGUUAUUAAUGACAAGUCUAUCUUAUUGUUAAUUGUUUAUGCUAUGAUGCAUACAGGCAAAU